GUGUUUGCUUCGGCAGCACAUAUGCUAAAAUUGGAACGAUACAGAGAAGAUUAGCGUGGCCCCUUCAUUAGGAUGCAAUGCAAGUCCAUAAAAUGUUACAUAUUUAA
rnacentral:snRNA from 1 species